GAUCCUGGCUCAGAUUGAACGCUGCGGAAUGCUUUACACAUGCAAGUCGAACGGUAGAGGGGGCAACCCCUCGAGAGUGGCGAACGGGUGAGUAAUAUAUCGGAACGUGCCCAGUCGUGGGGGAUAACGUAGCGAAAGUUACGCUAAUACCGCAUACGAUCUAUGGAUGAAAGCGGGGGAUCGCAAGACCUCGCGCGAUUGGAGCGGCCGAUAUCAGAUUAGCUAGUUGGUGGGGUAAAAGCCCACCAAGGCGACGAUCUGUAGCGGGUCUGAGAGGAUGAUCCGCCACACUGGGACUGAGACACGGCCCAGACUCCUACGGGAGGCAGCAGUGGGGAAUUUUGGACAAUGGGCGAAAGCCUGAUCCAGCCAUGCCGCGUGAGUGAAGAAGGCCUUUUGGUUGUAAAGCACUUUAAGCGAAGAGGAGGCUACCUGGAUUAAUACUCUGGGAUAGUGGACGUUACUCGCAGAAUAAGCACCGGCUAACUCUGUG
rnacentral:rRNA from 1 species